UGGGGAAUAUUGGGCAAUGGGCGCAAGCCUGACCCAGCAACGCCGCGUGAGGGAUGAAGGUCCUCGGAUUGUAAACCUCUUUCAGCAGGGACGAAGCGAAAGUGACGGUACCUGCAGAAGAAGCACCGGCUAACUACGUGCCAGCAGCCGCGGUAAUACGUAGGGUGCAAGCGUUGUCCGGAUUUAUUGGGCGUAAAGAGCUCGUAGGCGGUUCAACACGUCGGAUGUGAAAACACGGUGCUUAACACCGUGCCUGCAUUCGAUACGGUCGAACUAGAGGAUGGCAGGGGAAACUGGAAUUCCUGGUGUAGCGGUGGAAUGCGCAGAUAUCAGGAGGAACACCGGUGGCGAAGGCGGGUUUCUGGGCCAUUACUGACGCUGAGGAGCGAAAGCGUGGGGA
rnacentral:rRNA from 1 species